rfam:Sporomusa sphaeroides DSM 2875 SPSPH_contig000002, whole genome shotgun sequence.
CGUGUUUUAUAGGGGAGCUGGAAAGGCCGGCUGAGAGAUAGAUCUGAUCAAAUCUAUGACCCUUUGACCUGAUCUGGGUAAUGCCAGCGUAGGGAUGUUACAAUACUUUGCAA